rnacentral:rRNA from 1 species
GUGGGGAAUAUUGCACAAUGGGGGAAACCCUGAUGCAGCAACGCCGCGUGAGUGAAGAAGUAUUUCGGUAUGUAAAGCUCUAUCAGCAGGACAGAAAAUGACGGUACCUGACUAAGAAGCCCCGGCUAACUACGUGCCAGCAGCCGCGGUAAUACGUAGGGGGCAAGCGUUAUCCGGAUUUACUGGGUGUAAAGGGAGCGUAGACGGUUUUGCAAGUCUGAAGUGAAAGCCCGGGGCUUAACCCCGGGACUGCUUUGGAAACUGUAGGACUAGAGUGCAGGAGAGGUAAGUGGAAUUCCUAGUGUAGCGGUGAAAUGCGUAGAUAUUAGGAGGAACACCAGUGGCGAAGGCGGCUUACUGGACUGUAACUGACGUUGAGGCUCGAAAGCGUGGGGAGCAAACAGGA